UACGUAGGGUGCGAGCGUUGUCCGGAAUUAUUGGGCGUAAAGGGCUCGUAGGCGGUCUGUCGCGUCUGCUGUGAAAACUCAGGGCUUAACCCUGAGCUUGCAGUGGGUACGGGCAGACUAGAGUGCGGUAGGGGAGACUGGAAUUCCUGGUGUAGCGGUGAAAUGCGCAGAUAUCAGGAGGAACACCGGUGGCGAAGGCGGGUCUCUGGGCCGUAACUGACGCUGAGGUGCGAAAGCGUGGGGAGCAAACAGG
rnacentral:rRNA from 1 species